rfam:Ovis aries breed Texel chromosome 13, whole genome shotgun sequence.
UCCUUGGUGGUCCAGUGGCUAGAACUCUGCACUUUCACAGCUGACGGCCCAGGUUUGAUCCCUGGUCAAGGAA